rnacentral:rRNA from 1 species
GACGAACGCUGGCGGCAUGCCUAAUACAUGCAAGUCGAGCGCAGGAAAUCGACGGAACCCUUCGGGGGGAAGUCGACGGAAUGAGCGGCGGACGGGUGAGUAACACGUAAAGGACCUGCCCUCAGGUCUGGGAUAACCACGAGAAAUCGGGGCUAAUACCGGAUGGGUCAUCGGACCGCAUGGUCCGAGGAUGAAAGGCGCUUCGGCGUCGCCUGGGGAUGGCUUUGCGGUACAUUAGCUAGUUGGUGGGGUAAUGGCCCACCAAGGCGACGGUGCAUAGCCCACGUGAGAGGGUGAGCAGCCACACUGGGACUGAGACACGGCCCAGACUCCUACGGGAGGCAGCAGUAGGGAAUCUUCCACAAUGGACGAAAGUCUGAUGGAGCAACGCCGCGUGAACGAUGAAGGCCUUCGGGUCGUAAAGUUCUGUUGUAAGGGAAAAACAAGUGCCGCAGGCAAUGGCGGCACCUUGACGGUACCUUGCGAGAAAGCCACGGCUAACUACGUGCCAGCCGCCGCGGUAA